rnacentral:rRNA from 1 species
UACGGAGGGGGCUAGCGUUGUUCGGAAUUACUGAGCGUAAAGCGCACGUAGGCGGCUUUGCAAGUUAGAGGUGAAAGCCCGGGGCUCAACUCCGGAAUUGCCUUUAAAACUGCAUCGCUAGAAUUGUGGAGAGGUAAGUGGAAUUCCGAGUGUAGAGGUGAAAUUCGUAGAUAUUCGGAAGAACACCAGUGGCGAAGGCGACUUACUGGACACAUAUUGACGCUGAGGUGCGAAAGCGUGGGGAGCAAACAGG